AAGGAGAAGGGGAUCCCGGAAUGAAGUGAGCGAGGAAACGCCCAGGAACCGCCAGGAGUCAGCGGCGACGGCGCAGCCUGGAACCGACAGGCGUGCCCGGCGGGAAGCGGCCGAUCACAGUCAGGCCUCCCGCAUCAGGCGGGUCAGAAUAGGACUCACAGCUUUCCAGACAACCCUACGCGAAGCAACAAUGGAAGCAGACGCAGUUUAACAAAGCAUUUCGACGCCCU
rnacentral:lncRNA from 1 species